GACGAACGCUGGCGGCGUGCCUAAUACAUGCAAGUAGAACGCACAGUUUAUACCGUAGCUUGCUACACCAUAGACUGUGAGUUGCGAACGGGUGAGUAACGCGUAGGUAACCUGCCUGGUAGCGGGGGAUAACUAUUGGAAACGAUAGCUAAUACCGCAUAAUAUUAAUUAUUGCAUGAUAAUUAAUUGAAAGGUGCAAUUGCACCACUACCAGAUGGACCUGCGUUGUAUUAGCUAGUAGGUGAGGUAACGGCUCACCUAGGCGACGAUACAUAGCCGACCUGAGAGGGUGAUCGGCCACACUGGGACUGAGACACGGCCCAGACUCCUACGGGAGGCAGCAGUAGGGAAUCUUCGGCAAUAGACGAAAGUCUGACCGAGCAACGCCGCGUGAGUGAAGAAGGUUUUCGGAUCGUAAAGCUCUGUUGUAAGAGAAGAGCGGGUGUGAGAGUGGAAAGUUCACACUGUGACGGUAUCUUACCAGAAAGGGACGGCUAACUACGUG
rnacentral:rRNA from 1 species